rnacentral:rRNA from 1 species
GAUGAACGCUGGCGGCGUGCCUAAUACAUGCAAGUCGAGCGAACGGACGAGGAGCUUGCUUCUCUGAUGUUAGCGGCGGACGGGUGAGUAACACGUGGAUAACCUACCUAUAAGACUGGGAUAACUUCGGGAAACCGUAGCUAAUACCGGAUGAUAUUUUGAACCGCAUGGUUCAAAAGUGAAAGACGGUCUUGCUGUCACUUAUAGAUGGAUCCGCGCCGCAUUAGCUAGUUGGUAAGGUAACGGCUUACCAAGGCAACGAUGCGUAGCCGACCUGAGAGGGUGAUCGGCCACACUGGAACUGAGACACGGUCCAGACUCCUACGGGAGGCAGCAGUAGGGAAUCUUCCGCAAUGGGCGAAAGCCUGACGGAGCAACGCCGCGUGAGUGAUGAAGGUCUUCGGAUCGUAAAACUCUGUUAUUAGGGAAGAACAAAUGUGUAAGUAACUAUGCACAUCUUGACGGUACCUAAUCAGAAAGCCACGGCUAACUACGUG